rnacentral:rRNA from 1 species
AUUGAACGCUGGCGGCAGGCCUAACACAUGCAAGUCGAGCGGAGCGGCGGACGGGUGCGUAAGGGCAAGGUAUCUGACUGGUCGUGGGGGAUAAGGUCCGGAACCGGGCGCUGUUGCCGCAUCCUCUCACAUGAGCCUAGGUCGGAUUAGCUAGUGGGUGGGGUAAAGGCCUACCAAGGCGACGAUCCGUAACUGGUCUGAGAGGAUGAUCAGUCACACUGGAACUGAGACACGGUCCAGACUCCUACGGGAGGCAGCAGUGGGGAAUAUUGGACAAUGGGCGAAAGCCUGAUCCAGCCAUGCCGCGUGUGUGAAGAAGGCCUUCGGAUUGUAAAGCACUUUAAGUUGGGAGGCGUUACCAGCAGAAUAAGCACCGGCUAACUUCGUGCCAGCAGCCGCGGUAAUAC